rnacentral:rRNA from 1 species
UACGUAGGGUGCAAGCGUUGUCCGGAAUUAUUGGGCGUAAAGAGCUCGUAGGCGGUUUUGUCGCGUCGAAAUGUGAAAACCCGGGGCUCAACCCCCGGAACUGCCUUUGAUACUGGGUAUCUCGAGUCCGGAAGAGGUGAGUGGAAUUCCGAGUGUAGAGGUGAAAUUCGUAGAUAUUCGGAGGAACACCAGUGGCGAAAGCGGCCCACUGGGUCUUUUCUGACGCUGAGGAACGAAAGCUAGGGUAGCGAACGGG